AUACGGAGGGUGCAAGCGUUACUCGGAAUCACUGGGCGUAAAGCGCGCGCAGGCGGCUAUUUAAGUUGGAUGUGAAAGCCUACGGCUCAACCGUAGAACUGCAUCCAAAACUAUUAGACUAGAGUGUGGGAGAGGAAGAUGGAAUUAGUUGUGUAGGGGUAAAAUCCGUAGAGAUAACUAGGAAUACCAAAAGCGAAGGCAAUCUUCUGGAACACUACUGACGCUGUGGCGCGAAAGCGUGGGGAGCAAACAGGAUUAGAUACCCUAGUAGUCC
rnacentral:rRNA from 1 species